GCGAUCAUACCAGAACUAAUGCACCGGAUCCCAUCAGAACUCCGCAGUUAAGCGUGCUUGAGCGAGAGUCCCCUUUUUCAUUUUUUUUCCUUUUAAUUUUCUUCUACUUUCGGAAUUUCUUAUGGGAAGCA
rnacentral:rRNA from 1 species